UGAACGCCGGGCAACCGGCGUUGACCGGCAAACAGGAAUCAGCAGAGGGCAUGGUAGGUUCACCCGUGAACCGAAGGCC
rfam:Marinobacter algicola DG893 1103407001943, whole genome shotgun sequence.